AACACAGCGACCACAUGCUUGGCCUUUUCUCCUCCCUCCACCUAAGCUGCAAUACCAACAAGGACACUCAGAAGACUGAAGACCCCAACAGAGGGGACUGGCCCAGGAUUUCAUAAUGCAGGAGUUAUUUAAACUUUCUGAUGUUUGCCAAGGUCUUCGUUACCAUGAAAAUUACUGGUUUGGACUGUCAUAUGACACAGCCAUUAAAAAGUGGGUUUGGGAGGAUGGCACCACUUUAUCCUCUCAUCUGUUUCAAAUUCCAGAAAAUAAUUAUAAAUUUUAUUGGAAUGGGGUUUGUCCCUAUUUUCAAGGUGAAAAGGUCCUUGCUGGAGAUCGUUGACAAUUGGGAUAUCCUAUCUGUGAGAAGAGAGACAUUUAGUGCCUGACUGGAUUAAGACAUCAAGAAAAGAAGAUGAAGCAGAAUGGAACAAAGAUAAGUGUAGCCCAGGACUUUUGAGUUUAUAAUAGACUGCUCCCUUGGGCUUUUACAAAACAACAUAUAUUGUUAUGUACAAUUUUAUUAAACAAAACUGGUUUUAAAGUUUGGGGCAAAUAUUGAUUGAUUAGGAAUGUGGAGCAGCAGCCUCAUUUGAUGCACCACAUCCUUGGGAACUUUCCUCGUCUGGUCAAACUUCUCCCACAAGCCUGAAUAAAGGACAGAGUCUUAGUUAAAAGGGGUAAAAUGCUAGUAACCCCUUUGAAGCCAAUGAUGUUACUCCUGAUUUACACGUCUGUAAAUGAGAGCAGAAUCUCUCAGUUCAGAAACACAGGAAGCUGAACACAAGCACAUUAAAGAGGAGUUUCAUCACUAGAACUGAUUUUAAAGUAAAAGAAGAAUAUUUAUGCACACUAAAGUUUCUUUGGCUUGUCAUUCCUACAUACCUCUUCUUAUAAUUUUUUAGAGCCAUGGGCUCAAACCAGUGAUCUGAACCAGAUCUCAACCCCUGUGAAGUUUGGGAAGUUCUGACCUGGAUAUAAAUUCUACA